rnacentral:rRNA from 1 species
UACGAAGGGGGCUAGCGUUGCUCGGAAUUAUUGGGCGUAAAGCGCGCGCAGGCGGUCCUUUAAGUCUGAUGUGAAAGCCCACGGCUCAACCGUGGAAGGUCAUUGGAAACUGGGGGACUUGAGUGCAGAAGAGGAAAGUGGAAUUCCAAGUGUAGCGGUGAAAUGCGUAGAGAUUUGGAGGAACACCAGUGGCGAAGGCGACUUUCUGGUCUGUAACUGACGCUGAGGCGCGAAAGCGUGGGGAGCAAACAGG